rnacentral:rRNA from 1 species
GAUGAACGCUGGCGGCGUGCCUAAUACAUGCAAGUCGAGCGAACAGACGAGGAGCUUGUUCCUCUGACGUUAGCGGCGGACGGGUGAGUAACACGUGGAUAACCUACCUAUCAGACUGGGAUAACUUCGGGAAACCGGAGCUAAUACCGGAUAAUAUAUUGAACCGCAUGGUUCAAUAGUGAAAGACGGUUUUGCUGUCACUUAUAGAUGGAUCCGCGCCGCAUUAGCUAGUUGGUAAGGUAACGGCUUACCAAGGCAACGAUGCGUAGCCGACCUGAGAGGGUGAUCGGCCACACUGGAACUGAGACACGGUCCAGACUCCUACGAGAGGCAGCAGUAGGGAAUCUUCCGCAAUAGGCGAAAGCUUGACGGAGCAACGCCGCGUGAGUGAUGAAGGUCUUCGGAUCGUAAAACUCUGUUAUUAGGGAAGAACAAAUGUGUAAGUAACUAUGCACGUCUUGACGGUACCUAAUCAGAAAGCCACGGCUAACUACGUG